GCAAGACGUCAGCGGCAGACGGGAGAGUAACACGUGGGAACGUACCCUUCGGUUCGGAAUAACCCAGGGAAACUUGGGCUAAUACCGGAUACGUCCGUAAGGAGAAAGAUUUAUCGCCGAGGGAUCGGCCCGCGUCCGAUUAGCUAGUUGGUGGGGUAAUGGCCCACCAAGGCGACGAUCGGUAGCUGGUCUGAGAGGAUGAUCAGCCUCACUGGGACUGAGACACGGCCCAGACUCCUACGGGAGGCAGCAGUGGGGAAUAUUGGACAAUGGGCGCAAGCCUGAUCCAGCCAUGCCGCGUGGGUGAUAAAGGCCCUAGGG
rnacentral:rRNA from 1 species